GCGUCGGCGUCAUCAUUUUUUUCAAAUCUUGUUCGUUUCGUUGACGCUGUUGUUGCGUCAUAGACGCUGCGUCAUAGACGCUGCGUCAUAGACGCUGCGUCUGGCGUCAAUAAGAUCUGGACGCUGGAAUUAUCAGCGGCUGAGUCAAAAAAGCUGCGUUAACUUAGCCUUUUUACAUUUUUACCCUUAACAUUUUUCAUUAUUUACGAAAAAACCUAAGUAAUUGACGCAGCUCUCUCUUCACCUCCAUGGACGACCCAUCUCGAGCUCUCUCUUCUCCUCCAUAGACGACGCAGCCGCUCUCUCUUCUCCUCCAUAGAUGACGCAGCAGCUAUCUCUCUUCUUCUCCAUUGACGACCCAUCUCGAGCUCUCUCUUCUCUUCCAUUGAAGACCCAUCUCGUGCUCUCUCUUCUCUUCCAUUGACGACCCAUCUCGAGCUCUCUCUUCUCUUCCAUUGACGACCCAUCUCGAGCUCUCUCUUUCUUCCAAGUCGGUGCUGAUAGCGAGCAAAAGGAACAUGUUGUUGUAUUAUUUGAAACGUUGGAUUGACAGAGAAAGGGAAAGCUUCUAAGGAACUAGAAGAGGAAGAAAAUGAGAAAUAGGGUUUAGGUCGAUGAUCAAGAUUUUUCAUCUUCUUCAUGGAUCUUGGGGGAGUUGUUGAAGAAGCUUCUCACAAGAAGUAUCAAUAUUUUUACCUUCGGUGGUACAAAGAUUAAGCUCCUCAUCAAAGUCCAUAUCUCUGUUCUCUGGUAACUUACAGUUUUGCCAACACAAAGAGAGUUGUGGACAAAGAGAUAGAGAAAGAGAGCUAACGAUAGACAGAAUAUAUCGAGACAGAGAGAUGGCUCAUCUUUUGGUUUGACCACUUCAAACAUUUUUAUUACUUUCUUUUACUCUAAACCCACUCAUUGUGUUGGAUAAUUUUUGUAAUAUUUUUCAUAACUUUAAGAUAAUUAUGGUUCAAUAAUGACAUUUUAUA